rnacentral:rRNA from 1 species
UGACUAGCUACUGAAUCUUUGAUGUGUCAUCAAAGAUAAUGUAAAGGAAAAUAAUGAUAUUACUUUACUAUUAGUGUCGUCCAAAUACUCGUGCCAGAAGACUCGGUAAGGCGAGAGACGCAAACGUUAUUCGUCUUGAUCAGGCGUAAAGGGUGUGUAGGCUGUUUUAAGUAUUUAUAUUAAGUUUACUGUAAUAAAUAUAUAUUGAACUCGUUUUUACUUUUUAAAGUUUAACUUAUUCAACUUUCUAUAUUUAUUAAAAAGGUAUAAAUCAAUUAAAGCUAGAAUCUAAAGGAGGUUAAAACAAUACUUAAGGUAGGAGUACUAACCGUAAAUAUUAAGUAGAGUGCUAACGGCGAAGGCAUUUAACCAAUAAAGAUUGACGCUGAGAAACGAAAGUGAGGGCAGAAAAAAGGAUUAGAGACCCUUGUAUUCCUCACUGUCAACGAUGAAUGGUAGUUACUAGUCAGAAAUAAACUAGAGACGAUGUUAACACGAAAACCAUUCCGCCUUGUGAGUACAACUGCAAAGUUGAAAACAAAAAAAUUAGUCGGUUUCGGAGCAAACGAAGUGAAGCAUGUUAUUUAAUUCAUUAAUCCGCCA